CCUGCCGGAGGUUACUGCUAUCGGUGUUCGCCUACCCUUUGCGAGUCAUAUGUUCUUCGUGAACAUGGCGUACUGCUCGGUAACACGUGAAUAACCUGCCCUUGGGACCGGCAUAACCCCGGGAAACUGGGGAUAAUUCCGGAUACCGCAUAUAUGCUGGAAUGCUUUAUGCGUGAAAUGGAUUCUUCUGCCCAAGGAUGGAUCUGCGGCCUAUCAGGUAGUAGUGGGUGUAAUGUACCUACUACCCUACAACGGGUACGGGUUGCGAGAGCAAGAGCCCGGAAAUGGAUUCUGAAACAUGAAUCCAGGCCCUACGGGGCGCACCAGGCGCGAAAACUUUACAAUGCGGGAAACCGUGAUAAGGGGACACCGAGUGCCACCAACAUUUGUUGGCUGUCCAGGUGUGUAAACUACACCUGUUAGCAAGGGCCGGGCAAGACCGGUGC
rnacentral:rRNA from 1 species